rnacentral:rRNA from 1 species
UACGUAGGGGGCUAGCGUUGUCCGGAAUCAUUGGGCGUAAAGCGCGCGUAGGCGGCCCGGUAAGUCCGCUGUAAAAGUCAAAGGCUCAACCUUUGAAUGUCAGUGGAUACUGCCGGGCUAGAGUCCGGAAGAGGCGAGUGGAAUUCCUGGUGUAGCGGUGAAAUGCGCAGAUAUCAGGAAGAACACCCGUGGCUAAGGCGGCUCUCUAGUACGGUACUGACGCUGAGACGCGAAAGCGUGGGGAGCGAACAGG